UAGGAGGUCCCGCCUGCCCUGUGACUAUAUGUUUAACGGCCGCGGUAUUUUGACCGUGCGAAGGUAGCGCAAUCACUUGUCCUUUAAAUGAGGACCUGUAUGAAUGGCACGACGAGGGCUUAGCUGUCUCCUCUUUCAAGUCAAUGAAAUUGAUCUCCCCGUGCAGAAGCGGGGAUACAACCAUAAGACGAGAAGACCCUGUGGAGCUUUAGACACCAAAACAGACCAUGUUAAAGACCCCGAAACAAAGGACUAAACUUAAUGGCCCCUGCCUUGACGUCUUCGGUUGGGGUGACCGAGGAGAAGAACACAACCUCCAUGCGGAAUAGAAGUACUACUUCCACAAUCAUGAACCACCGUUCUAAUUACCAGAACCUCUGACCCUACGAUCCGGCAACGCCGAUUAACGAACCAAGUUACCCCAGGGAUAACAGCGCAAUCCCCUUUUAGAGCCCCUAUCAACAAGGGGGUUUACGACCUCGAUGUUGGAUCAGGACAUCCUAAUGGCGCAGCAGCUAUUAAGGGUUCGUU
rnacentral:rRNA from 1 species